rnacentral:rRNA from 1 species
CAUGCAGUCGAGCGGNGAGACGNGNNCUUGCUACCGAUCUUNNGGCGGACGGGUGAGUAAUGCUUANGAAUCUGCCUAUUAGUGGGGGACAACAUUUCGAAAGGAAUGCUAAUACCGCAUACGUCCUACGGGAGAAAGCAGGGGAUCUUCGGACCUUGCGCUAAUAGAUGAGCCUAAGUCGGAUUAGCUAGUUGGUGGGGUAAAGGCCUACCAAGGCGACGAUCUGUAGCGGGUCUGAGAGGAUGAUCCGCCACACUGGGACUGAGACACGGCCCAGACUCCUACGGGAGGCAGCAGUGGGGAAUAUUGGACAAUGGGCGCAAGCCUGAUCCAGCCAUGCCGCGUGUGUGAAGAAGGCCUUAUGGUUGUAAAGCACUUUAAGCGAGGAGGAGGCUACUGAAGUUAAUACCUUCAGAUAGUGGACGUUACUCGCAGAAUAAGCACCGGCUAACUCUGUGCCAGCAGCCGCGGUAAUACAGAGGGUGCAAGCGUUAAUCGGAUUUACUGGGCGUAAAGCGCGCGUANGCGGCUAAUUAAGUCAAAUGUGAAAUCCCCGAGCUUAACUUGGGAAUUGCAUUCGAUACUGGUUAGCUAGAGUGUGGGAGAGGAUGGUAGAAUUCCAGGUGUAGCGGUGAAAUGCGUAUAGAUCUGGAGGAAUACCGAUGGCGAAGGCAGCCAUCUGGCCUAACACUGACGCUGAGGUGCGAAAGCAUGGGGAGCAAACAGGAUUAGAUACCCUGGUAGUCCAUGCCGUAAACGAUGUCUACUAGCCGUUGGGGCCUUUGAGGCUUUAGUGGCGCAGCUAACGCGAUAAGUAGACCGCCUGGGGAGUACGGUCGCAAGACUAAAACUCAAAUGAAUUGACGGGGGCCCGCACAAGCGGUGGAGCAUGUGNUUUAAUUCGAUGCAACGCGAAGAACCUUACCUGGCCUUGACAUAGUAAGAACUUUCCAGAGACGGAUUGGNGCCUUCGGGAACUUACAUACAGGUGCUGCAUGGCUGUCGUCAGCUCGUGUCGUGAGAUGCUGGGUUAAGUCCCGCAACGAGCGCAACCCUUUUCCUUAUUUGCCAGCGAGUAAUGUCGGGAACUUUAAGGAUACUGCCAGUGACAAACUGGAGGAAGGCGGGGACGACGUCAAGUCAUCAUGGCCCUUACGGCCAGGGCUACCCACCUGCUACAAUGGUCGGUACAAAGGGUUGCUACCUAGCGAAAGGAUGCUAAUCUCAAAAAGCCGAUCGUAGUCCGGAUUGGAGUAUGCAACUCGACUCCAUGAAGUCGGAAUCGCUAGUAAUCGCGGAUCAGAAUGCCGCGGUGAAUACGUUCCCGGGCCUUGUACNUACCGNUCNUCACACCACGGUAGUGNGNGCACCNGAAGUAGCUAGAGUAGCUCAAGGA